AUACGUAGGGGGCGAGCGUUGUCCGGAAUGAUUGGGCGUAAAGGGCGCGUAGGCGGCGCGGUAAGUCUGGAGUGAAAGUCCUGCUUUCAAGGUGGGAAUUGCUUUGGAUACUGGGGGGCUUGAGUGCAGGAGAGGUUAUCGGAAUUCCCGGUGUAGCGGUGCAAUGCGUAGAGACCGGGAGGAACACCAGUGGCGAAGGCGGGUAACUGGACUGCAACUGACGCUGAGGCGCAAAAGUGUGGGGAGCAAACAGGAUUAGAUACCCUGGUAGUCCACACUGUAAACGAUGAAUGCUAGGUGUAAGAGGUAUCGACCCCUUUUGUGCCGGAGUCAACACAAUAAGCAUUCCGCCUGGGGAGUACGGCCGCAAGGUUGAAACUCAAAGGAAUUGACGGGG
rnacentral:rRNA from 1 species